GCCGGCAGCUAGCUCUCUGCAACUCUCACAUGGUCGCCCACUGAAGCUAAGCAGGGCUGAGGUAGGUCAGUACCUGGAUGGGAGAUCACAUGGGAAAACUAGGUUGCUGCCAGAA
rnacentral:rRNA from 1 species